rnacentral:lncRNA from 1 species
GCUGCCUGGGUCGGCUGGGCCUGUGGGCCUGCGUCCGACAGCGCGCGGCCGUGCUUUCUAAGCGGGCUCGGCAGCACCAGACUUCACCGGCCCGGCGCGGGGCUCACAAGUGCUCGCACUCCCUGCGGCCGGCGCGCUGACCGGAGCCUCUGGGUCUCGCACGCAGCAGCUGCAGACGCUGCCCGGCGCGGUGGGGCUGUGAGCAAAACGGCCCGCCGGUGUGGUUGCCCAGACUGUGCUGGGCCCUCCUAGGUGGAUGGCCCUGCCCCAGCCUAACUUCUGUACCCCAGCAUAACCUCCAAAGUAACAGCCGUGCCCUGGGAGCCUGUUCAACACUGAACAUAUCCCACAAUAACACUGUUCCAGCGUCGCUGGUAAAAAGCAGAAAUGGCUUCGCUGGAGGCAUCGACAAAUCUAAUGCAGUAACCUCAUUUUACAGAAGAGAACUCUAAGAGGAUAACUAACUUGGCCAAGAUCACAUGAUGUUUCUGGAUGAGAUUAGCAUUCAAAUUCGUGGACUCAUUAAAGUAGAUGGCUCUCUCCAAUAUGGGUGGGCAUCAUCCAAUCUGUUGAAGGCGUGAAGAGAACAAGAGAAGGAGGAAGGAAGAAUUCACCUUUUUUCUUGCUGCCCACCUGCUUGGGCUGGGACAUUGCAUCUCACCUUCUCCAGCCUUUGGAUGAGGAUUUACACCCUGGUUCUCAGGCCUUCAGGCUCUAACUGGAGCUACACUAUCAACUUUCCUGGGCCUCCAGAUUGCAGAUGGUGGAUCACGGUACUUUUUAGCCUCCAUCAUAAUAGUUGAAAUUUUUCAAGAUGAAAAGUUGCUAAAGAAAGAGAAAGGGAAGCGGUUUGCUCCAGUAUUCCUCUUUCCACCUUCCCACUGACUGGGAAGCGGCGGUUAGCAGAGCCACAGUCUUGGAUUAGAGAUAAGAGGGACAUGUUGAGGAAGGUGGAGUCUCCCCCACAGCCCUGGACCAGUACGGAAUCCCUGUAUUCUAGGAUUUGGCAAGCUGUCCACUGAAACAUUAUUUUUCCCAGCCUUCUUUGCAGAGAAUGUAGACACGAUGGUUGGAGUUCCAGAAGUUGUCUUGGACGAUGAGGUAGCUUUGAGGAUAGAAGCCUUUGGCUAAGGAAGGUGGAGCACAAAGACAGAAGACGAAGAGCAUUCCUGAGGACUGUGGAGUUCCAUGCCAGCCUUGCAUUGUCUAUCUUGUUACUUCUGUGGGAGAAAAAAUACAGUAAACCUCUAUCUUGCUUAAGCUC